GGCGGUUGGCGGUUGGCUGUCGGCUGUCGGCGCCUCGUCGCGGUGCUGGCGAGGACCGGCGGCGGCGGGAACGCAGCCGGCCCCGCGAGGCAAAGAAAUAGCCAGCUUCCCAGCUGCUGGCUCUAACUCAGGCGUGGAAGAGCAAGAACUGACAGUGAUGACUGGGUGAUGACUGGGUGCAACUGCAAACUCCCCUGGCCAUGACUUGGCUGAGCUGAGAGUCUACCAACAAAGGAUUAAAGGUUUCCUGGUAACAAUAGCACCAAAAUAAAGACCAGAUUUUGUCUAAGUGAAAUUCACUUCUCCUGCCUAAAGCCCUAUGCCUAGAAUCUGCAAGGAAAAAAGCUGAAGUAAGAUGUGGAAGCUGCUAAAUUUAUGUGUAAGCACCAGGCUGCAAUCCAUACAAGCUUACAGGAGUUCGGUACUCGGCUUCCUCUGAAAUUUAAAGGAGGUGAGCACCUUUGUUCUUAAAGCUUUUUUGAAUAUUCCAGCCAUGUAAGACAUAACAGCCUCCCAUUGUUUGCUCAGGGACAGUAUGUAUAUGUAUAUGUAUAUGAAUAUUGCCUUGGGUAUUCAAAAUCUAUGCAAGUAAAAAGAAGAUCAUAGAGCAUGCAGCUUUUCAGCUGUGAAGAAGCAGCAGCUUAGCUGAGCCGUACUUCUUAAGAGAGGCUACUGGACCUUCUCAUAGUCUACACUUGACUGUCUUUACUCUUGAGUGAUCUUCAGCUCAGCCAGAAAAACAAGGGUCUGUGAAUUAAUUGUUGCCAAACUUUGAACCAUGGGGGGUUCAAGUGAAAGAAUGGGCUUUAAGUCAGCCACGUGUGACUGGAUGAUCCACCUAACUGGAAUGCGGUUUGUGUUGAGGUAUGUUUUCUUUGGCUAUUUUUUCCUGAAAUGUGCAAUUAAAAAAAAUAAAAUAUUUACAUCAUUAGAAAUGAAA
rnacentral:lncRNA from 1 species